rnacentral:rRNA from 1 species
CGGGUGCACUGAUCCAGCCGGGCCUUUCCCUCUGUGGAACCCCAUGGCCUUCACUGGCUGUGGUGGGGAAACAGGACUUUUACUUUGAAAAAAUUAGAGUGCUCCAGGCAGGCCUAUGCUCGAAUACAUUAGCAUGGAAUAAUAGAAUAGGACGUGUGGUUCUAUUUUGUUGGUUUCUAGGACCGCCGUAAUGAUUAAUAGGGACAGUCGGGGGCAUCAGUAUUCAAUUGUCAGAGGUGAAAUUCUUGGAUCUAUUGAAGACUAACUACUGCGAAAGCAUUUGCCAAGGAUGUUUUCAUUGAUAAGGAACGAAAGUUAGGGGAUCGAAGACGAUCAGAUACCGUCGUAGUCUUAACUAUAAACUAUGCCGACUAGGGAUCGGACGAUGUUAUUCUUUGACGCGUUCGGCACCUUUCGAGAAAUCAAAGUGCUUGGGGCUCCAGGGGGAGUAUGGUCGCAAGGGCUGAAACUUAAAGAAAUUGACGGAAGGGCACCACCAGGGGUGGAACCUGCGGCUUAAUUUGACUCAACACGGGGAAACUCACCAGGUCCAGACACAGUGAGGAUUGACAGAUUGAGAGCUCUUUCUUGAUUCUGUGGGUGGUGGUGCAUGGCCGUUCUUAGUUGGUGGAGUGAUUUGUCUGCUUAAUUGCGAUAACGAACGAGACCUUAACCUGCUAAAUAGCCCGUACUGCUUUGGCAGUUCGCCGGCUUCUUAGAGGGACUAUCGG